AAGAGCCACCAGGUCCCAGCUGAGGAAGCCCUGUGGUCAGCUCAGACAGCAAUUCAAGACCCAGACAAUUGGAAGGAUGUACAAAUUAAGCUACAAAACACAGAGAACUAGUGGUGGUCUGCAAAGAAUAGAGACGACCAGACUGGCUGACGGUCAAAUCAUAAAUUUGCAUGUGUUCCAAAAAAGUGUUCUACCGGCAAUCCUCCAAAUUGUAUCAGGCUCCAGUUCUCCCUGGAUUCCAGGAACACCAUCUCCUUCCUCG
rnacentral:lncRNA from 1 species